UGUCAAGAGUUUAGGCGCCGUUUGGGCGGAUGGAUUUCUUUUGCCUUAGCGAAAGUGAAGGCAGAUG
rfam:Rhizobium sp. CF080 ctg13, whole genome shotgun sequence.